rnacentral:rRNA from 1 species
GAGUUUGAUCCUGGCUCAGAUUGAACGCUGGCGGCAGGCCUAACACAUGCAAGUCGAGCGGAUGACGGGAGCUUGCUCCUUGAUUCAGCGGCGGACGGGUGAGUAAUGCCUAGGAAUCUGCCUGGUAGUGGGGGACAACGUUUCGAAAGGAACGCUAAUACCGCAUACGUCCUACGGGAGAAAGCAGGGGACCUUCGGGCCUUGCGCUAUCAGAUGAGCCUAGGUCGGAUUAGCUAGUUGGUGGGGUAAUGGCUCACCAAGGCGACGAUCCGUAACUGGUCUGAGAGGAUGAUCAGUCACACUGGAACUGAGACACGGUCCAGACUCCUACGGGAGGCAGCAGUGGGGAAUAUUGGACAAUGGGCGAAAGGCCUGAUCCAGCCAUGCCGCGUGUGUGAAGAAGGUCUUCGGAUUGUAAAGCACUUUAAGUUGGGAGGAAGGCGAGUAAGUUAAUACCUUGCUGUUUUGACGUUACCGACAGAAUAAGCACCGGCUAACUCUGUGCCAGCCGCCG